UCCAUUUGUGCCGCUGCGUUCGUCAUUCUAGAACUUGAGCACGCAGAUAGAGAAAGCUGCCACCACUACAUCUUUUGUGCAGAGCAAGGUGAUGUCGUGAACUCUUCUUUGAUUCAACCUUACUGGCCCUCUCCCAUGUCUCACUCGAUUCUCUUUUGCACAUCAUGAGGACAUCCUCAAGGUUGAAUCAUUGCAGCCCCAUCUGAACCGAUGUCCACCGUUAAGAGCGUAAGAUACUCCCGGGCAGCAGCACCCAAUGCCAUAGCUGCUGUACCAAUUUGAUUAUCUCCGAAGCGGGAUUAAUAGUAUUCUAUUGAUCACAGUCCCAAUCACCACCCCGUCAUCGAUGAAGACUGCCGCUAAAUUUGUCUCCAUCUUUUGCCAACCCCAAUGUGAGGACCCCUAUCAUGUUCUCCAUUGUGUUUAUAUGUUACCCGCUGUAGAACAUGUGCCAUAAUCUAUGUGUGAUCAAAUUCUAGAAAAGUUUCCACAUAAUCAUGUCUCUGUUCCUCAUGGGCAGCAGCACCGUUGCCUAUUGGGAUUCGUAUUUCUAGUAGUCUAAUGCUUCUGUCAUUGAGCCCUUUGGUCAUGAUUUAGUUCUCAAAGUAGCACUUGUUCUUGCAAAUUUGUAUGGCCAAACCACCAAAGGUGAAAGAAAUAUCAUCAUUUUUGUAUCCACUGUUCUGCUGUCCUAGAUGAUGUGCAGCAUCAAAUUUCUUUGUUGUUCCCCAUCCAUCCUUUGAGUUAUUUGAUGAAUCCUUUGGCUAGAAUAUCCAUCAUAUACCUGCACAUGCCCUCAUAAAGUUCCAUGAACAUGGAGUCCAAUGCGAAAGAGUUGCAAUUGUUUCUGUGCUUGCUGCCACGAGAACCUCGCAGACGCAUUGCUGCUGGUUGGCACGAACAUUUCCUUUGUUCUAUUGCUCCAGUGACCGUGUCCUUCAACCACAUCAUGUUUCGUGUCUUUGCACACGCCUGUAUGAAAUUUUGUUGCCAUAGGAUUCAAGAUAAAAGAUAUAUAUUUCUUUCU